AAAGAUCGUUUUAUUGCUCAUUUGCAGUGUAUUAUUGUGAUCAAGACAAAAAUUAAGACAGACUCUAUGUCAGAAGAUGCUUGCUACUCACUACAGGAGAUCUCACAGCAUAAUAGCUCCAUAUCUUUCUGGAUAGCUAUUUAUAGCAAGGUCUAUGAUGUUACAGAGUUUAUUCAUAAGCACCCAGGAGGAGCAAAAAUACUAAUAGAUUUUGCAGGAACAGAUACGAGUGGUGUAUUUGAGGAGAUAGGUCGUCAUACUGCACAAGCUAGAGAACUAAUGAAAGAGUAUUGUAUUGGAGCCCUGAAACAGUGACUACGCAAUAAUGUACUGCAUACAUAAGGUCGGAUCACUGUGUAUAUAAUUAUUUACUUUGCUUUUGUGUUUCAGUAUUCAUUCAAUGCCAUUGUGUGUGCAAUAAUCAUAAUUCACACAGUAACAAGAGUCACCAAUCAUGCAUUGAUGUUUAUGUGACUCCA